rnacentral:rRNA from 1 species
CCUACGGUAGGCAGCAGUGAGGAAUAUUGGUCAAUGGACGAGAGUCUGAACCAGCCAAGUAGCGUGAAGGAUGACUGCCCUAUGGGUUGUAAACUUCUUUUAUAAAGGAAUAAAACGCGGCACGUGUGCCUUUUUGCAUGUACUUUAUGAAUAAGGAUCGGCUAACUCCGUGCCAGCAGCCGAGGUAAUACGGAGGAUCCGACCGUUAUCCGGAUUUAUUGGGUUUAAAGGGAGCGUAGAUGGGUUGUUAAGUCCGUUGUGAAAGUUUGCGGCUCAACCGUAAAAUUGCAAUUGAUACUGGCAGUCUUGAGUAUAGUUGAGGUAGGCGGAAUUCGUGGUGUAGCGGUGAAAUGCUUAGAUAUCACGAAGAACCCCGAUUGCGAAGGCAGCUUACUAAACUGUGACUGACAUUGAUGCUCGAAAGUGUGGGUAUCAAACAGGAUUAGAUACCCCUGUAGUC